GGAGAGGGUCAUAACUCAGUGGGAGAGCAUCUGCUUUGCAUGCAGAAGGUCUAAGUACAAUCGUUGGCAUCUCCA